rnacentral:rRNA from 1 species
UGUCUAGGCGGCUGUGUUAGUCGUUCGUAAAAUCUCCGGGCCUAACCCGGAGCUCGCGAACGAAACGGCACAGCUCGAGGGUGCGAGAGGUAGAGGGAACUCACGGUGGAGGGGUGAAAUCCGUUGAUAUCGUGGGGAACACCAAAGGCGAAGGCACUCUACUGGCGCAUUCCUGACGCUCACACACGAAAGCCAGGGGAGAGAACG